GAAGGCAUCAUAGUAGCCCACUUUAUGUUUACAUUUAUCCUUGUACCCUUGUAGUUUUCCAAGUCCAUUCUUAAUAUCUUCCAUUUUUUUGUCAAUUGCUUGCUGGUUACUCUUUUUCUGCUUCUCCAAUUGUCCAGCAGCACGGAGACACAAUCUAGCUCUAGCGCUCAGGCCUAGGUCUUUCAAGGCCAUGUUACUCUCUGCUGUUGCACUUGCAUCAUCUGAUAAUGGAAGUGCUUCCAAAUGAUGAUCAUCUAAAAAGGUUACACUUUGCAUUUUUAAGCAUUCUUCCAGUUCAUCUUUGUAGCUCAAAUGAUCUAUUAGGCUUCUGCGGGCAACUGCAGGAAGGUCCCCUUCAGAGCUCAACUGAGAGGUAUAGAACAGUAGCUGCAGAACAGCAUCUGGGUUCCUUAUGACCACAAGUUUCUCAUUUCCUGUGCAGAAGACAUAGGUACCUAAUGGUCUGUAAGGACUUAGCUCAACAAAGUUCGACAGUGUCUCUAACAACAGAUUUGUAUUCCCCAUGAUCUUACAGGCGGCAUGGCUUACAACAGAUAAUGCAUUCCUCAUCACAGUUACAAAGAAAUCUGAGGGUUCAACCACAUUUUCUUGGGAUCUUGCCUUGAAGAAAUUGAGAACUUGCCGCAGUUGCUGCUCAACAGACGAGAGAGGGGUGAGUGACAUCCUUGGGACAAUGUCAUAUCUCAUGACAAAAUUUACGAAGUAGCGAGACCAGUUUUCACGCCUAAGUGCAUGGCUCAUAAUGCGAUCGCCAACAAGAGGAGAUCCAAAAGUCACACAUAGAGGUGCCAUUUUCUUGGGGUCUGGUCUUAUGUACUCUUCCAAGAACCAGAUUGCCGCAAGUAUAGCAAUAGGCCCCCCAAGAGAGUGCCCUGUAAACACAACUUGAACUUGCUUCCUAUCUGUCACAGCUGUUUCCACCUCCUUCUUGAACUGUGUAUUAUCCAAAAUUGCGUUGAAUCUGUUAAGGAAAGCUCCAUUGACGGUUGCAAUUUGAUUGAGACCAAUAUAUUUGAGGGAAGGGAACAGCUCAAGAUCCACCUUCACUUCUCCAAAGGAACUUCCGAUGAACCAAUCACUUAAAGACCAA
rnacentral:misc_RNA from 1 species